rnacentral:ncRNA from 2 species
CCGAUUUUAAGGGGGUGCCCCGAUAACUACGGAGCUGAGAAUACACCCUUAUGAACUGAUCCGGAUAAUGCCGGCGUAGUAAUUAAAAUAGUUUCUAAU